AUGGCUUAAUCCAGAAGCGGAAGAAUGAUUACAAAAGUUGCUGAAGAAGUUAUGACUAUUGUUUCCAAAAAAGCUUUUUAAAUCCUGAAUAACGGUUUUAUCGUUGAUUUAAUGGACACCGAUUAUCCUUUGGCGACAACUCUAACAUAAAAAACUACAACAACAGCACCACAUCUUAUAAAAGACAUGAUUGUCAUUAAAAGCUAUCUUUAAGAUACUAUUCAAUGUUAUCCAAUGGCAUCCAUUGAUAACACAUUUGGAUUCAUUAGCUUUUAUUAGAGCGACAAAUAAGACGAUGCAAUGACAACGCGUUAAAAGAAACGUUUGAUGGCUAAACUAAUUUCAGAGAUCAAAAGCUAACCAGAUGUCCGACAGAAAUUGACAAUAAAUUAUACGUUUUGUAUGAUAAAGAUAAUCAACUAAAACAAUAGCUCAUAGUUUUGACUGAUUGUAAGCGACUUUAAUAUUAACGAUAUUAUAAAGAAUGAGGCAUUUGAUGAAAAACAUUCACAAAAAUAAAAUUAAAGACAUAUAUCACAAAACCAAAUGAGACACUACUGGGACCUUAAACCUCGUAAUAAUUUAUAAAAUGGUUUUAAUUGCAUAUAAAUUGUCUACAAAUAAAGUUAACAACACCGAGAGGGGGAUUGACAUCACAUAUACACAGAUGUGAUGUAAAAUUUUGUUAUUCAAGUGGAAGAAAAAGACAAUUUAUUUGAAGACCAUUUUUAGGAUUGUAUUAAAGUCCAACAAAAUUUGUGGCACUGGGAUAUGGGUUAUGUGUUUUUCAUAACUGUGGUUUAGUUUCACUGGACUUAAACAUAACUCAAUACUGGGUGUCACUUAAACACAAAAUAUUGAAUGAAAGAGUCACUGAUAGUAAAGUCUUUGUUCAGAUAAGAUGCGAUACACACAACACAUACACAGCUUGAGUACAGUUUGUGUGGUUUGAUUGCAAAUUGCAUUUACGAGUCACCACUUUCUUCAACACUCAUCUCUUCAUCUCUUUUGCUGAAAUGCCCUCAAAAUUGUUUUCCCAAUGAAUGGUUAGACAAAAGCCAAAUGAGAGAUAAUUUUGUUUGAAGACUAACACUAACUAAUUGAAGAGUCGAUUCACACACUUGACGGAGACAUUUGUUGUAUUUCAUUGUUUAGCGUAAUCUAUGAAAUAGUGGCUAAAGUCCGUCACUGAAAAAUAGGAAUCCAAUUAAAUGAUUGUAUUGUUUUACUAUUGAAAACAAACCAUGAAUUUAAAGGAUGGCAUCAAAAUAAUGUUAUGUCUAUUGGCAAGAAUAUGGUGUAGUAUGAAGUGGUAUGYAUAGACUGCAGGCAUACCUAAGCGUACAAAUCGACGAGUCAUGGAAGUGAUGAUGCAAUGAAGCAAUGGAUGCAAUGAGCCAUAAGUCACGUUAAGUCAACACCGAUAUCUCGUAUGUGUUUCCACUUGAAAGCCAAUACCAGAUUCAUAGCUAUUGCUUAUUGCUGUCUAUGAAUUGCAGUCAUAAGAGAUGAACUCAAUUAUGAUUUUGAGCGACAUUUUCAWUAUUAAUGCGAUCCCAACCAUUGCCUCAAAUCAAAAGCCAUAUCAUCACAAGAAAAUGCUCGCCAUUUGUGUCGUGAAUUAGAGCUGAAAUAAAGACCCGAUA